AAACCUGGCCCUGCACACAGAUGAUCACACAGCAGGUAAUUGCUAUAAAUCGUUGAAAAGUUCCCUCGACUAUCUUUCGCCUCCAUCAUCAGACUUUAAUGGCACUUGUAACUCAUAUAGGUGCAAAGUUCCCAUCAAUAGAAAUGAAUUAAGUUCAAACAGCAGGUAAUUGCUAUAAGUCGUUGAAGAGUACCCUCGACUAUCUUUCGUCUCCAUCAUCAGACUAAAAUGGCACUUAUAACUCAUAUAUAUGCAAAGUUCUCAUCAAUAGAAACGAAUUAAGUUCAAACAGCAGGUAAUUGCUAUAAAUCGUUAAAGAGUUCCCUCGACUAACUUUUGUCUCCAUCAUCAGACUGUAAUGGCACUUGUAACUCAUAUAGGUGCAAAGUUCUCAUCAAUAGAAACGAAUUAAGUUCAAACAGCAGGUAAUUGCUAUAAAUCGUUAAAAAGUUCCCUCGACUAACUUUUGUCUCCAUCAUCAGACUGUAAUGGCACUUAUAACUCAUACAGGUACAAAGCUCUCAUCAAUAGAAACGAAUUAAGUUCAAACAGAAGUUAAUUGCUAUAAAUUGUUGAAGAGUUCCCUCGACUAUUUUUCUUCUCCAUCAUCAGAUCGACUCCAGACCUUUAUUAAAUAGUAAUGCUUUAUAGUACUUAAUGAAAACAUGAUUAAAUUUACUAGUCACCCUUACG
rnacentral:misc_RNA from 1 species